GGGGGGGAAGGGAAAAUUAAGUGUUGAAGGAGGACAAAUGUUUUCUCUCCAUACCAGUCAUUAGAAAAAAAAAGAGACCAAAACUUCUUAAAAUCCUGAUUUCUUUUGAAAUUGUUUGUUGAAAUGUAGAAGAUGACGAGGUUAUAGUGACAACGUUAAAAACAUCCUAUCUUGAUAUACCCAAUGUCGACAUUUCAAUUAUUGUCAUUCUUAUGGAUUGUAUAUUUUUCAUUUAAGCGGUUGAUUUACACAAAUGUUUAUUUUUGUAUUUUCCGAUGUUACCGUCGAUUUUAUUAUUGAUAUUUAUUGGCAUCGAAUGUUGCAAUGGAUUAAGGUAAUGCUUAUGUCUCUAACUGGUUGCAUCCAGUUCUGUUGCUUGAAAUUUGUCCGGUUGAUUUUAUGUGAUUUUUUUGGUUUGACAUUCCCAUUUCUCCCCCUCCUCAUCUCUCACUCUGCCACCUGCUCCUCUCUCACUAGAGACAGAGGGUUGUGUAAGGACUGAAGGUGACAUCUUUUCACAUUUCGCAGAAAGUGCAUUCUCUAUCACCAACAUUAGCAUUAGCCAUAUACAGGUGUGGACUGUAUACACUCUAGAUAGCGUUAAGCUAAAAAGCCUAUUAGGGCAACCUCGUUAAGCGAGCGAAGCAACAAAAAAAAUACAAUAAGAGAAAACCGUUAGAUAAUUCAAAGCUCAAGACUCAUUAGGAUGAGAACUGUAUCCUCUACAGGCUCAAGUGAUGCUGUGAGGAGGUUUAACGUUUAUUAGAUUAGAAUAUGAACUGUUGUCGUGAGUCACAUGACAUAGCUCCAUAUCUGCACUUCAUAUCUGUACUUAUCCGAUAGUAGCCUGAUGGCCAGUCGGUUCGUGCUCUAUUACCAAGUCCUUGUCACUCAUUGUCACAUUAGCUUGCCAAUGACAUGGGAGUUGGCUAGACAGCACAAACAGAUCUGGGACCAUGCUAAUCUAAUAGUAGUGCGCGAGAAUCUGAAAAGCCUUCAUCUGUGUUGAGUUUGAGUUUGAGGUGGGAGUGUCAGGGAGGGUGACAGCUUGAUCUAUAACUAUGGUUGGUGUGGAUUCCAUUUUGAUUGCAGUCAAUUCAGGAGAUGCAUUGAAUCUCAAUUAAUUAAUUGAAAAUUGCUUGUUAUAUUAAAUGUCGGAUUGUUUUCAAUUCAUGGUUUGCAUUUUUUAUUCACCUCCAGAGUUGAUAUAAUAUAAAUGGAAUUCACCCCAACUUGCACUAGUACUCUACACCCAGAGUAAUAAAUAUGAUCAUAUAGUUAGUUAUAUAUGGUAGUAUACAUAUAUUCCAUAUAUAUGGUUUUGCUGACACCCAGACACCAGUCUACAAACUACCAAAUCAAUAUUUUCUAAUGUUCUCUCUUCAUCCCUACAUCCCUCCCUUCCUCCGCUGUCUUCUCCCUUGAUCUAGUGCUUUGGGUGUUUGUUCUUUAAUUCUAGGAAUUCUUCUUAUACCUGUUAUUGGUCCAAAUGUUCUGUACAGUUGUAAAGUUUUGACUUAUUUCAAUCUGCAUGGGGUUUCCAUUGCAAGCAAUAAGGAAUUGAUAUGUCUAUAUCCAAAAUCAAGGAAAUGUGAUUUGAGAAGACAUCAGAUUUGAUCAUGAGCUUAAUGAUUGUGUAUAUAUUUACUGUAUAUAUUAAGUGCAUAUGAAUGUGUAUAUUUCUAUACACAACAUAUAGACUAACAGCAUGCUAUUACGGGGGGGAAAGCACUCACCUUUCACAGUUUUGUCUGAGAAGAGUUGAGUUUAUAUAUAUGCAUGUUAAGAUGUUAUAGGGUGGAAGAGACCAUUGGUACCCAAAUGGGGAGGGGGUUUGGGAAAGUUGUAUUUUUUAACGAUGGGGAAGGGUAACCAGUGGUCUUGUGUAGCUGCUCUGUUAUUUCUUAUAGACCUUACCAGACUAACUGGUAAUAAUAAUUACUUUAUGAUUUAUAAUUGUUGUUAUCUUUUUACAGAGAACUAUUCUGAGAGCCCAGUGCUUAUCAGGUAUAUGCAAAAAGAAGCAGUAACUGUGAAUUAAUACUAGAGAAAAAAAUGAUCUACUUCUUCCUUUUUCCACGUUAAUCAAAACACGUCUUCAAAACUCAAAAUGUCCCUCCGUGAAACCACAUCGGCCAAAGCCCACCCAAACCUCACCGACUUUUCAACACACUUCAUCACUUUCACUCCUCUCUGUUCUCCCUCUCUCUUGUUCCAUCAAUCCAUCCUGUCCUGGCCCCCUCUUGCUUGAAAUAUCCUGAGGUACAGUACAUACCCAACAUUUAGGGGUUUAGCGUUUGAAAGUAACAGAAAUUACUAGUUUUGAGCAGGUUCCAAAUUCCCCUAACCUCCCCUAUGGGGAGGGAAAGCUCACACAACAUUUGCAUUAUUAGUGAUCCUUUCUUUUGAUAAUAAGUAACCACAAGGUGUAGCAAAACGAAGUAGCAUUUAAAUGCACAUCAUAUCCAAGGUUACAGGUUAUUAGUUUAUGACACAUAUUGAGUCAAAGCAGAUAGCAAAAUUAACCUCAACUGUCACUAACAAUCUACAAAUAGACUACACUUCCCCCCUGGAGGUAGAAUUCACACGUAACCAACCGUAGGCUACAGACAGAUACACGACUCAUUGUUGAGCAAAAAUACUUAUGCUAGGUCCUUCUGCAUCCUGCACAUUUUUUAAACUUAGGUUGCAUCUGAAAUGGCACCCUACUCCCUAUUUAGUGCUUUUCUGCAUCUGAAAUGGCACCCUACUCCCUAUUUAGUGCUUUGCUGCAUCUGAAAUGGCACCCUGCUCCCUAUUUAGUGCUUUUCUGCAUCUGCAAUGGCACCCUAAUCCCUAUAUAGUGCACUACUUUUGACCAGAGCCCUAUUAUAGGGAAUAGGAAUAGUCAAUGCCCACUGGGCACAACGUGGAAUAGAUAUUGAAUUGACGCCUGUGACCGAUUGGUGGUGACUUUUCCCCCAUUGUCACUGGGACAGGAGGGUGCUGCUCUUUGACAAGCAGUAGGAGGCGAGCAUGUGACAUUCUAGAAUGGAUCAGUAGAGGUUGUUGUGAUAGGUGGUUAUUUUGCUCAUUAUUGACGGUCAAGUUGAUGGUUUAGUUAGUGGUUUCAGUUAGUAGAGUGAUGUUCAGGUCUAUGUAUCAAAGCAUGUUUUUGUUCAAUCAUUGCAGGUAAAAAAAAAAAAAAAACUCUGGGAAGAUGUUCUUCAGACACUUUUUAACCAAUCCUAAGAAGGGAGAAUGACUUUAAGAUGCUAAAAUGGAGGAUGUUUGUAGUCUAGCCAUCAACUGACGUAGAAAUGAAUUUAAUAAUAUCAUCAGUGCAAUGUUUUUGACUACACCUCUGUCUUCCCCCUUUUCCACAUUUCCCCUUUCCCUCUUCGUCAGUCUCCCUCCAUUCACAACUCAGGUAUAUUUCUCUCUAUGUUGGUUUAAAUCAGUGCUUCCAGACGUAAUGUCUAUCAGAGCCGAACAGAGAGAAGGUUUGAAAUGUUUUGCUUCCUCUUUACUGUAUGUAUGGACCUGUAAAUAUUGUAUGACCUCAUCCCAGCUCACCUAUGUACCCUGUUAUGUGAUUCUGAGAUUGUUUUGUCCCUCCACUCUCCUCUCCCUCCGACACACGUUUCACCCCAUCUCCACCUCUCCACCUUCUCUUAUUCUUUUUUUAAUUGGUAUUUUGAGAUGUGCUAUCUCUACUGCUUCUAUUACAAAACCCCAAAAUGAAACAACCCCCACCAUAAACGUUAAAGUUCCAUCUUCCCUAAAGGUGGAUUACAAACGUCUCCCGAGGAUAGGAAAUGGACAGAAAGACUGUCCGACAUUACGUAUGAUGUUUUGGGGGGGAAGUAGGAACUGUGUAUUAAAAAAGGAUUGUCAUCAAAGGAAGAACCAUGAAAUGGAGGACAGUUUGAGGAAGAAAGAAAAAUACUAAAUGAGAGGAGGAAGGCAGCUGAUCACUUCUCAGUUGUUGAGUUUCUAAAAUUACCCUUUCUGUCCAAGAAGAGGAACAACCUUAGGACACAAUUCACCCAGAGCUCCCUACUGGAUUCACUGUAGGCUGAAGGGAUACGUAACCGGAGAGAGAGAGAGAGAGAGAGAGAGAGAGAGAGAGAGAGAGAGAGAGAGAAAGAAAAAAGGAGAGAGAGAGCGAAAGAAAGAAAGAGAGAACUGAAGGUGAUGAUGAGCGGAUGAUAGAUAGAAGACAAAGAGAGUCAAAAAGAUUUGUUCAUCCCUCCACACCAGAAGCAUCCUUCUUUCCUGUGGACUCCUCAGUCAGCACCAUCCCUUAGAAAACAAAACUCCAGACCAACUCGUUCCUGUGGACUCCUCAGUCAGCACCAUCCCUCAGAAAACAAAACUCCAGACCAACUCGUUCCUGUGGACUCCUCAGUCAGCACCAUCCCUCAGAAAACAAAACUCCAGACCAACUCGUUCCUGUGGACUCCUCAGUCAGCACCAUCCCUUAGAACACAAAACUCCAGACCAACUCGUUCCUGUGGACUGCUCAGUCAGCACCAUCCCUUAGAACACAAAACUCCAGACCAACGUGACAGACUUACAGUGACUCUGAGUACCUGGAAAAGCAUCACACUGAAACACAUACCUUAUGUCAGCAUACUUUACAGAGUCUUAUUAUACUAAGUCAUUGACAUUGAAAUCCCAGACAAAUAAUAAAAGAAACAAACAAUAGAACAGAAUGCCCCUAGGAAAGAGCCAAAGGGUUAUGGGAUAGUAGGACAGUGUUCCACAACUUGGUUGUCAUCCUACUGUGUCAUAGACCAUGUAUGCUUUUAACCACUGUCAAAUGUUCCCAAAAACAAAUGACAUCUUACCGGCUCUCAGAUACAGUAUAUUAAAUUGUUUUUAAAUCUUCCUAUUUAGUACUUCAAAGACGUCAAAGACGUACAGUAGGGUAGGCUAUAAACAAGCUACUGCAGUGGUCUGAGAUGACUCAACAUAGUCAGCGUGGAUGUGACUACAGAAAAGGAGAGCCAGGUGCUAGCCAACGGCCAAAUACAUUUACAUCACAGUAAUUGUACUGUUUUACAGCCAAACACUAUGCAAAGCUAUGAGGCUGAACAACCAUUGCAUCCAGUGACUCUUGAGUCAGCCCGCUAUGGUGACACUACGUUCUUAUGUUCAGUCAGUCACACCUGUUUGACUGUUUUCAUCGAUUUAUACAGCCCUCCUCUUACCUCUCACACGAGACACACUUCAGAAGAUACUGAAUUAUGGGCCCCAAUUGUAGAGCAACCAGGCAUAUAGUAUACCAGGCCAUUGGCCAUUUCAUAUAAACCUGUGCUUAGAUCUGAAAUAUGAUACACUCCCUGACUGACUGAUGCUGACGCAUGUUCCAUGAGAGUGUGUCGGCUGACCCUAACAGAUCUACUCAUCGACCACUUUGAAGGAUUUGGACCUAAAGAAAACCAGUGUGCGCGUGGUGAGAGUGUGUGUGCUGAAGAGUUGAGGAGGACGCCAAAGGAGAGAGACACUGGAAGCAUCCGCAACGCGCAUGCCAAGAACGGGAAGCGACUGCUGGAAAACAAGGACAUACAUUGCGCUCACCUUCUCGCUCUCAAUCUCCCCCUCUCUUUAUCUACACCCCUCUGCAUCUCAGCAUUGCUCCUCUUCCGUAGCAAACUGCAUGGCAUGAUCGAAAAAAAAACCUGAAGAACGAAACGUAGAGAACAAAAGGAUGAAGAGAGAGACCAGAGAGACUUUAUUUUUUAAAACCAAACAAUCAAAACAAUCAUUGUCACAUCAACCUUUUUCAAAAAUAUCCAAUUGGUAACUAUUUGCAAGUGUCAAGAUAACAAAUGGUCAACUGCUCGCGGAGAGAGUGGCUACUGUAAAGGUCGCUCUCCUUUCUGUAGAAAGAGCACUGCACCUCUGGGGGGGAUCAGAAAGAUUCGUAAGGAAGUGCGAGAAAAUAGCGGGAACAGGGUGAACUUUGAUAAACAAUUCCGGGGAAAAAAAGUGAAAAUGCAUUUUUAUUCCUUUGUUUACCAGCAUGACUAUUCUGCAUGAGUCUACUUCUGCAAGCCCUCACCCCACCCCCUCCGUAAAAAAAGAGGGCUAGGAAUUGAAAAAAUGAACAAAAUCGAGAGGAAACAAAAAAUAUUUAUGUUAUAUGCAACUAAUAAAAAAAAAGAAAAAGAGCAGGAUUAUAUUAAAAAAAAAAGAUCUAUAUUUUGUUUUGGGAUAAUAAAAAAGGAAUAACGAAAAAAAUAUAUAGGAUUGCAAGAUACACAUUGAACAAUGUUUUCUUAGAUAAAUAAGAUACAAACACCACCAAAUCUACCAGAGAUGAACUAUGCGAUGAACUUCCCCUGAUACUACAACUACUCUACUACUACUUUGAUGACUACUCUUCUUGUGCUCUGCUACUUCUUUUUCUACUGCUCUCACUCUCUGGUCCUACCGCCCUGAUUGUGUCCCCUGCUGCCAAUUCUCUGUCUUCCACCCCACUGUCCAUCCAGGUCCCCUCUUCACUGUCUGUCUGUAUAACUAUGUUUAUUUGGACUGUACUCAGAUCCGAUGGGUCAUAUUCACUAGGAUCCAAACGGAAGCAAACUGCCCGGAACGGGAGGGACUAUCCCUGAACUUGUCUAACACGUUUUCCACUGCAAAGCUGUUUGCUACGGUGUGCACUAAUGAAUACGACCAUGAUGGACUCUGUUGUUGUUCUUUCAGUCUCGUGCUCAAGGUGGGAGAUGGCAGCUUCACCACCGGGACGCGGUUGUAGACUCUAUAAGGUCUCGGCUAACUAAUGCAGUGUAGCGAUACCUAGCGGAGAUCAGACCUCACACCGUCCCCAGGCUAAUUGCCUACAGAGCAAUGGGAGAAAGUAUCUGAUCAAAUGAACGUGAUUCGCGAUGACCUAAUACAAUAAAUUACAUCGAUUGGAUCGUGUAGCCCAAUAACACUGUAGCUAGCUAUCACCUGUAGCACUGCACUGACUGGCCAGAUAGUGUCAUAUUAGCUCAGCCCUGAUAUUGUAGCUGUACGAUGCAUAGCUUUGUACUGCUAUGACAUAAUGUACUGUAGGCCUAUUUCCAUGAUUAUAGGGAUGUGCAUAACGUGUCAUUGUGGCAUUUAACAUAAUCCCCCUCUACAGCCCUUGGGACGUCAACAGUGUUUGUUUUACACAUACUGGUGCCCCCUGCAUUGGUGAAGCAGCCAUCUUUGCUCCAUUUCCUCAGGUGGGGAUAGCAUAUUUCCAGGAAAACUGCUGUUCAAAUAUGCAUGAAGGGAAUGCCGAACGGUCUAUCUAUGCUAUCAUAUUGAGCUUAUCUAGAUGAAUUGUUGUUGUUUCUGUUGAUGAACAAAAGCUCAUGUUGACCUUCCACCUCCACUGUUUUGCAGUAUGGCUGGAUGCAUCACACCAGGCACCUCACCGCAUGCUAAACAACAGAUUGUGGGGUUUUAUUUCCCCCUGUUUUUCCAUGUUUAUUUUCAAGUGAAAACUAAUGUUGCUAUGUUCAGUUUCUAGGCCUGUAUGUAUAAGUCAUAUCUCGCCAGUCACCGCAAACCCUAGCUAGGCCUACAUCAGAGUUUGGAUAAUAUGCUGCUGAUGUAGCCUACUCGUUGUCGCCCUCUACUGGGCUCCAGUGCGUUGCGGGGAUGUAGUUUAUCCCCAGUGAAGAGUGUCAUCAUCUGAGCCGUGGUUCGUCUCUGGUGACACUCUGGUCUAGCCGAGUGCCAGCAGAGCAGGGUUCAUCUCAAGGGUGGUAUUUAAUGUUACAAUGGAGGAGGCGUGUUAAUUAUGUUUGUGGUCACAUUCAUUGACCGUGUCAAAUACAAAUUGGGUCACAUUCAUUUGCAUAUUGCUAGUUUAUAUUUUUGUCUCAAAUGAGUGUUAACUUGUGUUCACUUGCCAAAACUGUUGCUUUGUUUCUGUUUGUUUAUUUGUUAUUACGCAAUGAUGAAGAUUUUGAUGAUGUUCCAGAGAUGCUGGGGGCUAACUGUACUGAGAACUGAGCAACUACCUAUGCAAGAGUUUGACUGUAGCAUAUGAUUAUACUUCAGUGUUUCAUUGUGCCAAAGGAGUUCAGUGUGUUAGGUCUGUCUGUUAUGUGGGAGGGCAAGAAUGGGGCAGGGUAAUGGUGGAAAAAAAGGGGCAGCUACUAUAUCUAGCAUGGUACAUUGUUUACUGAAGUGUGUGGGGGUUAAAGUAAUUAGAAUAGGGGGGUCAGGGGUCUCCCCUGGGUCUACCCUGGAGUUUGCCAUUCAGGAUAUGUCCCUGUACUCGCAGUUUUCAUUUGAUACACUGGAUCUCUGUCAUUCAUCACCUUAUGUCUGAUUCCUCCCCACUUUCCUUCUCCUCGACUCCCAUCCCUUUCAUAUUCAUUCCCUCUCUCCCUCUUUCAACUCCCACCUACUCCUUCUUUCACUCUCUCCCUUUCCAAAAAAGUGUAUUAUGGCACUAUGUUUGUUACCAAAAAAAUGACUUGAAAUGAUAGAGACAUAAGUAAUCAUAGAUUAUGGAAGGAUGCAUCACUACUAGACAUUUCAUUCUGAAGAUGGAAAUUAUUGUUUGUGGGGUAGAGAAGGAGAGGGAUCGGGUGCAAGGUGGAUGGGAAGAAGAGGGGAUGGGCACAACUGGCUUAGGUACAGCUAAAGACAGAGGUGAAUGGAUCAUACCCCCCCCCCCCCCCCCCCAUCAUCCUUCUGGUAGCACAACCCACACAGACCGUUCCAUUUAAAAUGUCGGGGGGGGGGGGGGGGGGGGGGGGGUGUAUAUUGUCAGAGCAAUAAUUUCUUCCAAACCCUCAAUUUUGUGGGGGAGUCCAAUGCCAUUUACCUAAACUUACUGUCAAAGUAACCUUACCACCUCAAAAAAAAAAAAA